UUCAAUAGGAGGUCUUAGUGAUCAGGUAGUCCGGAAGUAAAGUUUCAUCGCUCAGCGGAUAGAAGGUGCUGCGGGGAUAACAUGAUUACUGCGCACAAGAGUUCAUAUCGACUGUGGAUUUUGGCACCUCGGUGUCGGCGUAUCACAUCCUGGGGCAGAUGUAGGUCCCAAGGGUAUGGCUGUGCGACAUUUAAAGUGGUGCGCGAGCUGGGUUCAUAACGUCGUGAGACAGGUCGGUCCCUAUCUGCCGUGGGCGUUAACGAGUUGAGAAGAGAUGACCCUAAUGCGAGCUGCGCGGUGAGAACGAAACCUUGGAGAUAUGGUUGUUUAAUAGCAAACAAUUCGAGGAGACUAGCGUCGGGAGGGACAAGCGGGCUCUACCAUCA
rnacentral:rRNA from 1 species